ACCGGCAGCUCAAGUGGUGGCCAUUUUUAUUGGGCCUAAAGCGUUCGUAGCCGGCUUGAUAAGUCUCUGGUGAAAUCCCACAGCUUAACUGUGGGAAUUGCUGGAGAUACUAUCAGGCUUGAGGCCGGGAGAGGCUGGAGGUACUCCCAGGGUAGGGGUGAAAUUCGUUAAUCCUGGGAGGACCACCGGUGGCGAAGGCGACCAGCUGGAACUGUCCUGACGGUGAGUAACGAGAGCCUGGGGCGCGAACCG
rnacentral:rRNA from 1 species